CGUUAAGACGCCUGGAAACCGACCAACGGUCCUUUCACCGGAAGUCGGGCCCGAACACGUGACGUGUCCAGCGCGAGCCCCCCGGAAGCUCCGGAAAUACGCGCGCGCCAGGUGCGCCCGGCACGCAGGUAGCGUGAAUCUCAUCAGCACAGAGAGAAAGCUUCACUGAAAACUCAUUGCAGGGCUAUGAGGCUGCUUUGGAGCCAUCACCAGAUACAAACAGAGGACACUGUAGCUCUUGAAAAUUUACAAUAUCCCAGUGCACCCUUAGGAGCUCACUACAGUGCCCUGGAGUACCUCAGCACACAGUUUGGGAACCACAGGUCUGAGGGGUAGAACUUGAAUGGAAGAUCUUCCAGUGAACUUGGUGACCCAAACUCAGAGAAAUGAAACAGUUAAAAUUUCCCCAAUUACUUGGAAAUACUAAGUAUUAUCAUUUGAGAUACUGGUUACUGGCCGAAGCCCAUUCCAGAAAUAGCAGUGUCCUCUGCGGCAGGAGGUUCUGCAAACCCACAGAGAACAGGACCCACUGGGGCUGUCCAGGCAAGCUGCCAUGUCAGUGGUAACAAAUUACAGAAGUUCUGUCCUCCUGGAGUGAAUUUCAGCCAGUGGCCUGGAGCAGACAGUUCAGGGUCUGAACUGCGGGACUAUCAGGGCCUUUUAAUCACAAGUAUGGGUCUGGGGCUGUGGAGUGGGUUGUGUUUAUUUGGAUACACCUCAAAAGGCUCAUGUCAAAAGUUACAAAAAUCCCACUUGAAUAGUCAACUGUUAGUGAGGACUCAGGUUGUCAGGCCCUUCCGUUGCCUCCUUCCCUGGACUGCACUUCAUCAAUCUUACUCUGCUUCCUUUCUGUGUCCCCUUCACACUCCUUUCCCUAUUGUCUUGGGUGAGGGCCUGGGCUCUCUAACAGACCAGACUAGCCUGACCUUUCUGAUAUAUUACAUUUUCCAUCCUGUAAAGAAACUUCUGUUGUUUGUGGUUUUUUUCCAUUUGGCAUAUGGGGCAAAAGGAAUAGCUAUCGUGACCAUGAAAAGAAUGAAAUCCUUGAGUACCCAGAAAAAUGAGACCAAGAAACUGGAAUGACUAAUCAUUCUCUGGUCUUCAUCCUUAUGCAUUACAAAGAAAAACAACAGGGAAACAAAAGCAAAACUAUUAGGACUCUAUCGAAAUAAAAAGCUUCUGCACACUGAAGGAAA